UUACUCUGGUUUCUCUUCAGAUCGUAUAAAUCUUUCGCCUUUUACUAAAGAUUUCCGUGGAGAGGAACAUUUAUGAGGGACAGGUAUGAUUUCAGAUUUAUUUUGCCCACUUGU